rnacentral:rRNA from 1 species
GACGAACGCUGGCGGCGUGCUUAACACAUGCAAGUCGAGCGGAGCGGCGGACGGGUGAGUAAGGCGUUAGUAAUUGGCCCCCUCCCUGUGAUGACAGUUGGAAACGGGUGCUAAUACCGGAUAGUGGGGGCUGACUCGCGUCCUAUCGGCUUAUUGGUUGGGUAGUGGCCGACCAAGGCGACGCCGGGUAGCCGGCCUGAGAGGGCAACCGGCCUCAAUGGGCUGAGAUAGGGACCAGACUCCUACGGUGGGCAGCAGUGGGGAAUAUGGCACAAUGGUGCAAACUCUGUGGCAGCAACGCCGCGGGCGGGAGGACCGCCUUGCGGGGGUAAACCGCUUUCAGCCAUGACCCGGUAGUGGCAGAAGAAGCACCGGCUAACUACGUGCCAGCAGCCGCGGUAAUAC